rnacentral:rRNA from 1 species
UACAGAGGGUGCAAGCGUUGUUCGGAAUCAUUGGGCGUAAAGGGCGCGUAGGUGGUUCUGUAUGUCUACCGUGAAAGCGUACGGCUCAACCGUAUUUUGUCGGUAGAAACUGCAGGACUUGAGGCUGGGAGGGGCUGGUGGAAUUCCCUGUGUAGCGGUGAAAUGCGUAGAGAUGGGGGAGAACACUCGUGGCGAAGGCGGCCAGCUAGACCAGUUCUGACACUGAGGCGCGACAGCGUGGGGAGCAAACAGG